CGACUAACGGAUUUAACAAGUGUACACUGGUCGCCCGGGUCACAAAGGUCUUAGCGAAGUGUAGGUGGAAGAGCCUCGCGGAGUCCGCCCUGCUGACUGCUGAUCCCAAGCUGGACGGGUGCGACGGCAAGACCCCUUUUGAAGGCGUAAAACAAAGGAAUUCUGCGAUUCGGAGAGAACGGAAACCCCGGUACAAAAGGGAUGAUGGACAGGAGGCCCCCGGAGGUGCAGGAAAGGGCAGUGAUGAACAGGAGCUAGAUCCUCUCCCAUGCCUCUCUCCUUCUCCCCCACACCCCACCUGACAUGCCCCUGCAAGCCGUCAGUCAACCGCC